rnacentral:lncRNA from 1 species
CUCCACAUGCAAUUCUAUCUUGAUACCUUAAGAGUCAAAUAAUUUAGUCAAACUCUUGAAUUUUGUAGUAAUUCAACAUCUUCCUUUCUGGCAGUCUGCAUAUACAAAGCAAAGAAUGAAAUGUUGAUGAAAAGAAAAUAUGAAGUAUAAAUCCCUGCUAACUGAACUUCUAAAAAACCUCUACUCCUGCCAUCACCACCACCAUCUGUGUACAACUGUCAUCUCUGUUGAAUUGAAUUUCAAAGAGUAGUAAGUAGAGAAUUAGUCUUGGAGUCAUGAAGACUUGGAUUUAUGUACGGCCUCUAACAUAUACUACAUGACCCUGCAUAGUUUCUUCAACUCAGUG